rnacentral:rRNA from 1 species
GGGGAAUAUUGCACAAUGGGGGAAACCCUGAUGCAGCAACGCCGCGUGAGCGAUGAAGGCCUUCGGGUUGUAAAGCUCUGUCUUCGCUGACGAUAAUGACGGUAAGCGAGGAGGAAGCCACGGCUAACUACGUGCCAGCAGCCGCGGUAAUACGUAGGUGGCAAGCGUUGUCCGGAAUUACUGGGCGUAAAGGAUGCGUAGGCGGCCUCUUAAGUGGGAUGUGAAAUGCCGGGGCUUAACCCGGGAGGUGCAUUCCAUACUGGGAGGCUAGAGUGCAGGAGAGGAAAGCGGAAUUCCCAGUGUAGCGGUGAAAUGCGUAGAGAUUGGGAGGAACACCAGUGGCGAAGGCGGCUUUCUGGACUGUAACUGACGCUGAGGCAUGAAAGUGUGGGGAGCAAAC